CCUUUUAAUUUUCUGUUUUUAAUUCAGCCAAUGAGUGGCUGAUUUCUUUAAUUCUAGUUGAGAAUUGGUUGAAACUAAGGUUGUUUAAUGGGUUGUGAGAUCUGAACAUAAAUUAUUGUCUUUGGUUUUGUUCAAUAUUUAUGCAAUUGAUGCUUUAAUUACAUGAUUACUUUAUUGUUUUGAUCAAAUUGGCCACUUGAUUUUAAUUGCAAAGUUAAUUAAUUGUUAGUUGGGAUUAUUUUUAAUCCGUAAUUGCUGGAAAUAUUCUGACCUUAGAACACUUGGUGUAGAAACCAAGGAAUUGCAUGAUCUAGCGUUAUCUCCAUACGUUUGGGUAGCUAGGAUUGGAUCUCUCUAUUUCUUUAUGCAAUUGACAAUUGUUUUGAUGCCUAUGGCCCAAGGACGUUCCUUGGCAAUUUGUUAAUUAGUAAUUGAUUAGAG
rnacentral:lncRNA from 1 species